rnacentral:tRNA from 2 species
GUCGUCGUGGGCGGGGUGGUGCCUCCGGUGCACGUGACGCCGUUGAGCGUGAACGACGCGGGCUCGGGGUUGCUGCCCGACCACGACCC